UUAAGUGAAUAAGGGCGCACGGUGGAUGCCUUGGCACUAGGAGCCGAUGAAGGACGGGACUAACACCGAUAUGCUUUGGGGAGCUGUAAGUAAGCUAUGAUCCAGAGAUUUCCGAAUGGGGGAACCCAAUAUCUUUUAUAGGAUAUUACUUUUCAGUGAAUACAUAGCUGAUUAGAGGUAGACGCAGAGAACUGAAACAUCUUAGUACCUGCAGGAAGAGAAAGAAAAUUCGAUUCCCUGAGUAGCGGCGAGCGAAACGGGAAGAGCCCAAACCAACAAGCUUGCUUGUUGGGGUUGUAGGACUCCAAUAUGGUAGUCUGUUGGUAUAGUUGAAGGAUUUGGAAAAUUCCGCUAAAGAGGGUGAAAGCCCCGUAGACGAAAUGCUAACAACACCUAGGAGGAUCCUGAGUACGGCGGAACACGAGAAAUUCCGUCGGAAUCCGCGGGGACCAUCCCGCAAGGCUAAAUACUCCCUAGUGACCGAUAGUGAACCAGUACCGUGAGGGAAAGGUGAAAAGCACCCCGGAAGGGGAGUGAAAUAGAUCCUGAAACCGUGUGCCUACAACAAGUCAAAGCUCGUUAAUGAGUGAUGGCGUGCCUUUUGUAGAAUGAACCGGCGAGUUACGAUUGCAUGCGAGGUUAAGUCGAAGAGACGGAGCCGCAGCGAAAGCGAGUCUGAAUAGGGCGAAUGAGUAUGUAGUCGUAGACCCGAAACCAUGUGAUCUACCCAUGUCCAGGUUGAAGGUGCGGUAAAACGCACUGGAGGACCGAACCCACGUACGUUGAAAAGUGCGGGGAUGAGGUGUGGGUAGCGGAGAAAUUCCAAACGAACUUGGAGAUAGCUGGUUCUCUCCGAAAUAGCUUUAGGGCUAGCCUCGGAAUUGAGAAUGAUGGAGGUAGAGCACUGUUUGGACUAGGGGCCCAUCUCGGGUUACCGAAUUCAGAUAAACUCCGAAUGCCAUUCAUUUAUAUCCGGGAGUCAGACUGCGAGUGAUAAGAUCCGUAGUCGAAAGGGAAACAGCCCAGACCACCAGCUAAGGUCCCAAAAUAUAUGUUAAGUGGAAAAGGAUGUGGGGUUGCACAGACAACUAGGAUGUUGGCUUAGAAGCAGCCACCAUUUAAAGAGUGCGUAAUAGCUCACUAGUCGAGUGACCCUGCGCCGAAAAUGUACCGGGGCUAAACAUAUUACCGAAGCUGUGGACUACACCAUUAGGUGUAGUGGUAGGAGAGCGUUCUAAGGGCGUUGAAGGUCGAUCGUGAGGACGGCUGGAGCGCUUAGAAGUGAGAAUGCCGGUAUGAGUAGCGAAAGACAGGUGAGAAUCCUGUCCACCGUAUGACUAAGGUUUCCUGGGGAAGGCUCGUCCGCCCAGGGUUAGUCGGGACCUAAGCCGAGGCCGAUAGGCGUAGGCGAUGGACAACAGGUUGAUAUUCCUGUACCAGUUGUUUUUGUUUGAGCAAUGGAGGGACGCAGUAGGCUAAGGAAUGCAUGCGAUUGGAAGUGCAUGUCCAAGCAAUGAGUCUUGAGUAGAGUUAAAUGCUUUACUCUCUAAGGACAAGUUGUGACGGGGAGCGAAAUAAUAGUAGCGAAGUUCCUGAUGUCACACUGCCAAGAAAAGCUUCUAGUGAGAAAACAACUGCCCGUACCGUAAACCGACACAGGUAGUCGAGGAGAGUAUCCUAAGGUGAGCGAGCGAACUCUCGUUAAGGAACUCGGCAAAAUGACCCCGUAACUUCGGGAGAAGGGGUGCUGACUUCGGUCAGCCGCAGUGAAUAGGCCCAAGCGACUGUUUAUCAAAAACACAGGUCUCUGCAAAAUCGUAAGAUGAAGUAUAGGGGCUGACGCCUGCCCGGUGCUGGAAGGUUAAGAGGAUGGGUUAGCUUCGGCGAAGCUCAGAAUUGAAGCCCCAGUAAACGGCGGCCGUAACUAUAACGGUCCUAAGGUAGCGAAAUUCCUUGUCGGGUAAGUUCCGACCCGCACGAAAGGCGUAACGAUUUGGGCACUGUCUCAACGAGAGACUCGGUGAAAUUUUAGUACCUGUGAAGAUGCAGGUUACCCGCGACAGGACGGAAAGACCCCAUGGAGCUUUACUGUAGUUUGAUAUUGAGUGUUUGUACCACAUGUACAGGAUAGGUAGGAGCCGAUGAGACCGGAACGCUAGUUUCGGAGGAGGCGCUGGUGGGAUACUACCCUUGUGUUAUGAACCCUCUAACCCGCACCACUAAUCGUGGUGGGAGACAGUGUCAGAUGGGCAGUUUGACUGGGGCGGUCGCCUCCUAAAAAGUAACGGAGGCGCCCAAAGGUUCCCUCAGAAUGGUUGGAAAUCAUUCGAAGAGUGUAAAGGCAGAAGGGAGCUUGACUGCGAGACCUACAAGUCGAGCAGGGACGAAAGUCGGGCUUAGUGAUCCGGUGGUUCCGCAUGGAAGGGCCAUCGCUCAACGGAUAAAAGCUACCCUGGGGAUAACAGGCUUAUCUCCCCCAAGAGUCCACAUCGACGGGGAGGUUUGGCACCUCGAUGUCGGCUCG
rnacentral:rRNA from 1 species